AGGGGUGUGUUUUGGUGGUGAGGCGCCACUUGCUCCACCUCAGAUAUUUCAUAACAAUCCAGGAAACAGCAUUAAAAUAUUGUCCAGAACCGAGAGCACUUCGUUCAGUCCGCAGCACGAGCAUCUCAAGACCCAGUCGAGACCCGCAGCAGCCCUCAGGAUGACCGUCAAAGUUCACAUCAUCUACUGUGGUGGAUGAGGGUACAGGCCCAAGUUCACCAAACUCAAGACGUUGCUUGAGGAUGAAUUCCCAGGCGAACUUGAGAUCACUGGUGAGGGCACACCCUCAACCACAGGCUGGUUUGAGGUGGAGGUAAACAACAAGUUGGUGCACUCAAAGAAGAAUGGCGAUGGAUUUGUUGACUCCGAGUCAAAAUUCAAAGCAGUUGUGACUGCCAUUGAGCAGGCCAUGGGGAAAUAAGCAUGAACUAAUGAUCAUAGAGUUUUUCUUCUCUGUUUGUUGGACUCCUGGGCAGUGCAACAAUGAUGGCGACGUCCAAAGUGUUUUCAGCAUGGCUGUUGCUUGAUGCUCUCCGCUCUUCCUGGGAGAAGACACUCGGAGCAGGAAACUCCCUAUGUAUACUGCUUCAGAUAAACGCUUUAACGGUUAAAAGUAAUAAUGGAAAAUAAAAAGGGAAAUUAUAAAAUUAGAUAGAAUUUGGACAGAACAUGUCAAGUUGUGCUACUUUUGAUGUCUUUUUUUUUUUUUUUGCCUUUGUAUAACGCACAAUUUAACGAACUAUUUUGGCAUUGUUCCUUGAUUUUCAUGCAAUAAAAAGAUGUUCAUGGUGAA